AUUAAAUUUUCUUUUCUUACCUGCAUCCCAUUUCUCAUCGUGACCUUUCCAAUGACCCCAAUGGUGACCUGAAUCGGCGUCGGUGACAUCAUGAUGUUCCUCAUGAUGUUUAUCUGGAUGAUGUUCAGUAGCAGAAGAUAAUAAUUGUUGCGGUUGAGAAGCUAAUCCAUUGGUCACUGUUUUAUUAACAUUUUCCUGAUGAUUACUUUUCGUUGAAUUUGUUGGAAUUGAUAAGACACAUUGGUUGAUGGUCAGGAAAACCGAUAACAACGGAAUCAAUUUUAAUCCAGUCAUCACAGAAAAACUAUUGUUAACCAUUCAAAGAUGGAAAAGGAAUUAAUCUGUUCAGAUUAACCAACUAAAGAUUCUUUUUUCUCAUUCUCUUUACUCUAUAUAACAAUGGCUUCCAGUUCAAUUAAAGGUUGGAUCUGUUUUUGAUAACCUAUUACCGGAAGGUUAACAAUUAACUUAACCAAUGAACCAUUUUGGACUCAUUUCCAUAGAAUGGUUGAAAAUAAUUAAGAAGACACACAAUUAAUCUGAUAUAGUGCAUGCAGAUCCAUUAUAAAGAUCCUUGUUUAUUAUGUU